UAGUUCAUAUAUUAGUUGAAGAACAGCUUCAAACUGGUCAUUUAGAGUCUAUGCUUAGCCCCUGGAGCACACCCAUCUUUGUAAUUAAAAAAAAUCUGGUACUUCGAGAUUAUUACAAGACCUUAGAGCUAUUAACCUUGUUAUAGAGCCCAUGGGAGCAUUACAAUCUGGACUUCCUUCUUCCACAGCUAUUCCUUUAGAUUAUAAUUUGAUAGAAGUAGAUCUAAAGGAUUGGUUUUUCUCUAAACCUUUACACCCAGAGGACUGUAAAAUUUUUGCAUUUAG
rnacentral:sRNA from 1 species